AUGGAACAACGUAUUGACUUCAGAAGAAAACAUGCUGAUCAGAAGUUUGAAGAUCAAAGUUUGCUGGUGGCCAGCGCUGCAGCUCAACAGGCUAAUCCUCCGCCUGCGGCACCAGCACACUGGGUUCUAGUCCCGGUCGGGGCUCCGGAUUCUGUUCUGGUUGCUCCUCUUCAGGCCAGCUCUCUGCUGUGGCCCAGGAGUGCAGUGGAGGAUGGCCCAAGUGCUUGGGCCCUGCACCUGUAUGGGAGACCAGGAGAAGCACCUGGCUCCUGGCUUCGGAUUAGCGCGGUGCCACAACAGCCACUGGGGGGUGAACCAACGGAAAAAGGAAGACCUUUCUCUCUGUCUCUCUCUCUCACUGUCCACUCUGCCUGUCAAAAAAAAAAAAAAAAAAAGUUUGCCUGUACAGAGCCUAGAGUGGUAGUUGGAAGAACUGAAAAGUUGUUGAAGUUUGUCAAAGGGCUGUUCCAUUAAGACUCUUCAGGCUGGAGAGAUUGGAAUGUUCCCCUGGAUUGAAUUGCAUAAAAUUGUACCGUCAAUCUGAAGGAUGUCUGUGUGAGCUAAUGAGAUGCAAACAGUGACACAUCAAAAACAGAAACCAACAAAACCUCCUAACUUAUAAUGUUGUCCUAAGGGCGGCAGCAGAGUACAUAAAGAGAGGGGGAGAAACACAGCUCACAGCAAGACUUUUGAGUGAUGAGUUGUUGGUUUAUCUACAGCUUAUGAACAUCAUCUGAGCCUAAAAAGAUGAAUGAGAAGAAGUCCCAAGAAAGCAAAUCUCUUACUUGAAUCAUGUAGAAUUGUAAUUUUGUAAAGCCACAGGCAAAAGCAAAGUUUAUUUUCAUUUGGUUUUGGCCAUAGCUCAUGUCUUCUUUCCCAAAAGAACUCAUAACCAGAAAUAUCUUUAAAAUAAUCAGCAAGCUGCAUCAUUCACAUCAAGAGCCAUCCAGAUUGUAACCUUGGAGAAGCCAGGACUCACUCCGCCUCCUUCCUGGCUUUACCUUGCCGGCUCUGGAGCUUUCUGCCCGGCAGUUGCUUGGUGAAUGUUUAUUACACUAAAGUGAAGUUUUUUUUUUUUUUUCUUUGAAUGGAUGCAAUUUAAAGUAGGAUUUUGAAUGUCUCAUUAGAUUUUAAAUAAAAAGCCAGAAAAUUUAGCGGGGCA
rnacentral:lncRNA from 1 species